rnacentral:rRNA from 1 species
UACGUAGGUGGCAAGCGUUAUCCGGAAUUAUUGGGCGUAAAGCGCGCGCAGGUGGUUUCUUAAGUCUGAUGUGAAAGCCCACGGCUCAACCGUGGAGGGUCAUUGGAAACUGGGAGACUUGAGUGCAGAAGAGGAAAGUGGAACUCCAUGUGUAGCGGUGAAAUGCGUAGAGAUAUGGAGGAACACCAGUGGCGAAGGCGACUUUCUGGUCUGUAACUGACACUGAGGCGCGAAAGCGUGGGGAGCAAACAGG